rnacentral:rRNA from 1 species
GGUUAAGCGACUAAGCGUACACGGUGGAUGCCCUGGCAGUCAGAGGCGAUGAAGGACGUGCUAAUCUGCGAAAAGCGUCGGUAAGGUGAUAUGAACCGUUAUAGCCGGCGAUGUCCGAAUGGGGAAACCCAGUGCAAUUCGUUGCACUAUCGUUAACUGAAUACAUAGGUUAACGAGGCGAACCGGGGGAACUGAAACAUCUAAGUACCCCGAGGAAAAGAAAUCAACCGAGAUUCCCCCAGUAGCGGCGAGCGAACGGGGAGCAGCCCAGAGUCUGAAUCAGCUUGUGUGUUAGUGGAACGGUCUGGAAAGUCCGACGGUACAGGGUGAUAGUCCCGUACACCAAAAUGCACAGGCUGUGAACUCGAAGAGUAGGGCGGGACACGUGGUAUCCUGUCUGAAUAUGGGGGGACCAUCCUCCAAGGCUAAAUACUCCUGACUGACCGAUAGUGAACCAGUACCGUGAGGGAAAGGCGAAAAGAACCCCGGCGAGGGGAGUGAAAAAGAACCUGAAACCGUGUACGUACAAGCAGUGGGAGCACCUUCGGGUGUGACUGCGUACCUUUUGUAUAAUGGGUCAGCGACUUAUAUUCUGUAGCAAGGUUAACCGUAUAGGGGAGCCGCAGGGAAACCGAGUCUUAACUGGGCGUUAAGUUGCAGGGUAUAGACCCGAAACCCGGUGAUCUAGCCAUGGGCAGGUUGAAGGUUGGGUAACACUAACUGGAGGACCGAACCGACUAAUGUUGAAAAAUUAGCGGAUGACUUGUGGCUGGGGUGAAAGGCCAAUCAAACCGGGAGAUAGCUGGUUCUCCCCGAAAGCUAUUUAGGUAGCGCCUCGUGAAUUCAUCUUCGGGGGUAGAGCACUGUUUCGGCUAGGGGGUCAUCCCGACUUACCAACCCGAUGCAAACUACGAAUACCGAAGAAUGUUAUCACGGGAGACACACGGCGGGUGCUAACGUCCGUCGUGAAGAGGGAAACAACCCAGACCGCCAGCUAAGGUCCCAAAGUCAUGGUUAAGUGGGAAACGAUGUGGGAAGGCACAGACAGCCAGGAUGUUGGCUUAGAAGCAGCCAUCAUUUAAAGAAAGCGUAAUAGCUCACUGGUCGAGUCGGCCUGCGCGGAAGAUGUAACGGGGCUAAACCAUGCACCGAAGCUGCGGCAGCGACACUAUGUGUUGUUGGGUAGGGGAGCGUUCUGUAAGCCUGCGAAGGUGACCUGUGAGGGUUGCUGGAGGUAUCAGAAGUGCGAAUGCUGACAUAAGUAACGAUAAAGCGGGUGAAAAGCCCGCUCGCCGGAAGACCAAGGGUUCCUGUCCAACGUUAAUCGGGGCAGGGUGAGUCGACCCCUAAGGCGAGGCCGAAAGGCGUAGUCGAUGGGAAACAGGUUAAUAUUCCUGUACUUGGUGUUACUGCGAAGGGGGGACGGAGAAGGCUAUGUUAGCCGGGCGACGGUUGUCCCGGUUUAAGCAUGUAGGCUGGUUAUCCAGGCAAAUCCGGAUAAUCAAGGCUGAGGUGUGAUGACGAGGCACUACGGUGCUGAAGUAACAAAUGCCCUGCUUCCAGGAAAAGCCUCUAAGCAUCAGGUAACAUCAAAUCGUACCCCAAACCGACACAGGUGGUCAGGUAGAGAAUACCAAGGCGCUUGAGAGAACUCGGGUGAAGGAACUAGGCAAAAUGGUGCCGUAACUUCGGGAGAAGGCACGCUGGUGUGUAGGUGAAGUCCCUGCGGAUGGAGCUGAGACCAGUCGAAGAUACCAGCUGGCUGCAACUGUUUAUUAAAAACACAGCACUGUGCAAACACGAAAGUGGACGUAUACGGUGUGACGCCUGCCCGGUGCCGGAAGGUUAAUUGAUGGGGUUAUCCGUAAGGAGAAGCUCUUGAUCGAAGCCCCGGUAAACGGCGGCCGUAACUAUAACGGUCCUAAGGUAGCGAAAUUCCUUGUCGGGUAAGUUCCGACCUGCACGAAUGGCGUAAUGAUGGCCAGGCUGUCUCCACCCGAGACUCAGUGAAAUUGAACUCGCUGUGAAGAUGCAGUGUACCCGCGGCAAGACGGAAAGACCCCCGUGAACCUUUACUAUAGCUUGACACUGAACAUUGAGCCUUGAUGUGUAGGAUAGGUGGGAGGCUUUGAAGCGUGGACGCCAGUCUGCGUGGAGCCAACCUUGAAAUACCACCCUUUAAUGUUUGAUGUUCUAACGUUGGCCCCUUACCGGGGUUGCGGACAGUGUCUGGUGGGUAGUUUGACUGGGGCGGUCUCCUCCCAAAGCGUAACGGAGGAGCACGAAGGUUAGCUAAUCCCUGGUCGGACAUCAGGAGGUUAGUGCAAUGGCAUAAGCUAGCUUGACUGCGAGCGUGACGGCGCGAGCAGGUGCGAAAGCAGGUCAUAGUGAUCCGGUGGUUCUGAAUGGAAGGGCCAUCGCUCAACGGAUAAAAAGGUACUCCGGGGAUAACAGGCUGAUACCGCCCAAGAGUUCAUAUCGACGGCGGUGUUUGGCACCUCGAUGUCGGCUCAUCACAUCCUGGGGCUGAAGUAGGUCCCAAGGGUAUGGCUGUUCGCCAUUUAAAGUGGUACGCGAGCUGGGUUUAGAACGUCGUGAGACAGUUCGGUCCCUAUCUGCCGUGGGCGCUGGAGAAUUGAGGGGGGCUGCUCCUAGUACGAGAGGACCGGAGUGGACGCAUCACUGGUGUUCGGGUUGUCAUGCCAAUGGCACUGCCCGGUAGCUAAAUGCGGAAGAGAUAAGUGCUGAAAGCAUCUAAGCACGAAACUUGCCCCGAGAUGAGUUCUCCCUGAGACUUUAAGUCUCCUGAAGGAACGUUAAAGACGAUGACGUUGAUAGGCCGGGUGUGUAAGCGCAGCGAUGCGUUGAGCUAACCGGUACUAAUGAACCGUGAGGCUUAACCUU